GAUGAAGUGCCUGAUUGAAAAGGGCUAUUUUGAUAGAAUAGAUUAUGUGAAAACCGCCUUCAUUA
rnacentral:tRNA from 1 species